CUGCACUAGGCGGAAGCCCCCAAAGUAUCAGCGCCGCUUCGUGGAGCCUGGCGACUGCUUUGGGAAGUCCUGCUGGCAGGCACUCUGCCCCUGGGGGUGUGCAAAGAGUUGUCCAGUUACCUUGAUCUUCUCACAGCCUCCUCCCCAGGGCACCAGGAGAGACCAGGAUUGGAGGACGGUAAAGAACACACUUCCCAGAGGAUUCUUGGAGUGUCUGAAACAAACAGAAGUUUGUUUCUCGUCCAUGUAACCAAGGCAAAUGCUCCUGGUUGGCAGGUGGCUUCCUCCAGGCAGUAAAUCUACAGCCCAGGCUCCCUGCAUCUUAUGGCUCCAAUCACUUUGGAUCUCAUCGUCGCCUGCACAUUGCCAUACACAGGGAAGGAGAAGAGAUGGAGAAGGCAAAGACUUUCUGAAAGCCGUGGCUAAAAGCUGGCAUGUGUCACAUCAGCUCACAUUCCAUUGUAGAGACGGGGUUUCACCGUGUUAGCCAGGAUGGUCUUGAUAUCCUGACCUCGUGAUCCGCCCGCCUUGGCUUCCCAAAGUGCUGGGAUUACAGGCGUGAGCCACCGCUCCCGGCCUGGCAGGCAUUCUUGAGGCAAACGGGAAAUGGGGUAAGUUACACAAUCGAUACAGCUCCGUCAUCGUGGUUUAAUUACUUUUCCACGUACCAUGUUUCCUGACAGGUAGAACGAUCAGCCUGGGCCUCCGUUUUUCAUUCUACAAAGAAUGAAGUGCAUGAACUGUCCUCUAUAGAAUUGUGGAAAAAGUUGUUUUUAUUGAGUUGUGGUUAUCUUUGUCUUCAUGGUCUAAUUACGGAAAUAAAUGCUUUUCCGAGUCUCCGGGGAUGGUCUGCCCUAGUCCAGCUCUCUGCAGUGUCUUUCUGGGUUUUUCCUCAGUGAACGGGAGGAACAUUGGCAGCACUUGUGGUCUGCACCAAGAACUGAAUCGAAUUUCCAUGUGUUAUUGAAUGUUCACAAAGACCUUGUACAGCGAGUGUUACUACCUCUGGUCAAUGAUUCAACUCAAGGCUCAGAAAAGUCAAGUGUCUUGUCCAGGGACACUUAGUCAGAAGUGAAUCCAAGGUUUAAGCUCAAGUCUGCCUAACUCUGAAUUUCACAGCCUUUUGCUACAUAUGGCGAAUAAUAUAUCCCUGAGCACUAAAGGCAGACUCCAAGGAUCUUGUCUCUGCAAUCAUCAUUCUGGCCAUAAUUUAUGAAAAGCAACCCAAAGUAUGUGAUGUAAUAAAAAGUACUAUCUAUGAGUUUACCCUUCCAAAAAUUGAACUGAAUUCUGAGCUCUAAAUUUGGAAUCAAAAGAACUUUUCUCUGCACUAAUCAUUUGGAACAUCACUUAAAGAAAACAACGAAAAACUGGUGUCCCCUGAGAGAAAGCAAUACAAAACAUUAUGCAUAAAGAAAUCCUUCCAAAAAAUAAACCAAAUCCAGUCAAAUCUCUAGUUUUGACUCCUAGCUUACCGGAAAUACGUGAUGGGAAAAAAAUGAAAUGACACCACUAUGAUUCAAUCAGCCAAAUCCAGCAUAUGCAAAUUUCUACCAGAUAAAUGGUUUAGUUUCUUCCCCAAACAAAUGGCACAAGGAAACGGAGGUAAGAAUGGGAUGCUGUUAUAGAUUUUAAAAGAUUUAAGAAAGUAUAAACUAAAUACACUAUGUGCAUCCUCUCUGAACGUGCUUCAAACAUAUCAAGGGGUCAAUGAGCAGUUUUGAAACAAUAAGGGAAUUUGAACACUGAAUGGUUGUCAGAAGAUAGUAAGAGAUCAUUAUUAAUUUUACUAGACAUAAUGAUGUUCUGAUUUUGUUUUUUUUUUAAAAAAAAAACAGUGUUAUUUCCUUUAUAGAUACAUCAUAUAGUAUUAACUAAUGAAAUGCUUUGAUAUCUGGAACGUUUAAAAAAUAUUCCCGAUGGAGUAAGUGCAAAGAAACAGGUAAGCAAAAUGCUGAUAAUUGCUGAAACACAGGAUGUGUACCUGGGGCUUCAUUUACUAUCUCUUCAUUUUCUAUUUUGAUAUUUGUUGGACAUUCUCAUAAAAAGGAAAGUUAUGUUUUAUUUUCUCAUAAGCUAGUAAUGAAAUAGCCCUACGUAACUGAUAUUGUAGAGACAAGAAUAGGUGUAAUAGAGCUUAAGGUUUUCAUUUAAAAAACUAUCUGUAGACUUCAAUGGAUCUUAGGUGGCAUCCAUGCAAUAACACUCGUGGAACAUGCAGGACAGGUGUGGAGCUCCAUCUUCACACAGUGACAUUUUUUAUGCUUCUGUUUUCCCUAAGAGUGGAGUGAGAGGAUGAUUAUUUUAUAUCAUGGACUUCUUCCCUGCUAUACUUUUUUUAAUUAUUUUACUUUCACUUCUGGGAUACAUGUGCUGAGCAUGCAGGCUUGUUUACAUAGGUAUACAUCUGCCAUGGUGGUUUGCUGCACCUAUCAACCCAUCAUACAGGUUUUAAGCCCUGCAUGCAUUAGGUAUUCGCCCUAAUGCUCUCCCUCGCCUUUCCCCCCACCCCCUGAUAGCCCCCAGUGAGUCAUAUUCCCCUCCCUGUGUCCAUGUGUUCUCAUUGUUCAACUCCCAUUUAUGAGUGAGAAUAUGUGGUGUUUAGUUUUCUGUUCCUGUGUUAGUUUGCUGAGAAUGAUGUUUUCCAGCUUCAUCCAUGUCCCUGAAAAGGACAUGAGCUCAUUCUUUUUUAUGGCUGCAUAGUAUUCCACGGUGUUAUAUGUGCCACAUUUUCUUAAUCCAGUCUGUCAUUGAUGGACAUUUGGGUUGUUUCCAAGUCUUUGCUAUUGUAAAUAGUGCUGCAAUAAACAUAUGUGUGCAUGUGUCUUUGUAGUAGAAUGAUUUAUAAUCCUUUGGGUAUAUGCCCAGUAAUGGGACUGAUGGGUCAAAUGGUAUUUCUGGUUCUAGAUCCUUGAGGAAUUGCCACACUGUCUUCCACAAUGGUUGAACUAAUUUAUACUCCCACCAACAGGGUAAAAGCAUUCCUAUUUCUCCACAUCCUCUCCAGCAUCUGUUGUUUCCAAAUGUUUUAAUGAUUGCCAUUCCACCUGGCGUGAGAUGGUAUCUCAUUGUGGUUUUGAUUUUCAUUUCUCUAAUGACCAGUGAUGAUAAGCUUUUUUUCAUAUGUUUGUUGGCCACAUAAAUGUCUUCUUUUGACUUUUAUGUGGAAACAAAUUUAACUGCACAGAGAGGUGAAAAUUAAUUAAUAACUUUUAAAGUAAUUCCCUAAGUUUCUAAGGAUCUAUAUGUUUCCAUCUGACUUUAUUUUAUUUAAGCUCUUGAUUGAUGCUGCAUUUGGAGCAGGUUCAUGAACAUGAAUAGAGUUAAUCUGGGACAGAUUUCCCUCAUUUGAUUUUUUCACUGUUUCCAUCACAGAACUUAUUUCAUGCUCACCAUGUUUGCAGGCAUUGAGCUUGGUACUGGAGCCACAGAGCUGGAUCAGACAGACUUGUGCAAAUAUUUCAGGUUUUUUUUGUGGGGGGGUCAUAUUUAUAGAUAAAUAACAGUAAAGAGUGACGGGUUCUUAUGAAAAUGCAUACACAGUGAAGUAGAGGGUGAAAAGGAGGGAUGUGUUCUAUGAGGAGGAAGAGUGAUAAGAAAGUGUAAGGGGAUGUGUCUGUGUCUAGACAUAUGUGUGUUCACGUGUGUGCGUGCUUGUGUGUACUGCAUGUGUAUAUGUGUGGCCAUGCACCUGUGUGCAUGUUCAUGUGUGUGUGUGUAUGUGUCUGUGUUGAGGACUAAAUUAAUUGGGCUUAUGGAAGCAGGGAGCCACUGAUAGGUUUAAUUAGAGACUGACAUGAUAUGAUAGUUUAGGUGGAUUUCUCUGGGGGCUGUGUUGAGGGACAGUGGGGAGGAGAGCUAGAAGGAAGAAAAGGACACAUGCAUAACAGAAGCAAUAUCUGUCUAUGGGAUGGUGGAAAGAAUCAGAAAAGACUUAAUAAAACAUGUGACACUUUAACUGAAUCUUGAAAUAGACAAGUGUUGGAGGAGGGAGUUGGACCAGAUACUUCAUGCAAAGGGAAGAAAAGUGCACAAACAAAAUAUGAGAAACAAGGCAGACAGGCAUUUUUUUAAAAUUUUCGCACCCACUGAUAGACCAGUGAUGCAUUCACAUCGUCUGCAUUCAUGAUCAACAAAAGUGCUUUCCUAGAACAUGAACCUCAACCCAAGUGUCGCCUCAAGUAGUGUAUGCAUGAACUCAAGCAUUAAAUUAGAAUUGAUUUUUUAAAAAACUCACACAAACAGAUGUAUUAUUUAAAAAUCUUUAAAGCAGGUUUAAACAGUUUUCAGGAUUAAAAGCAGCCACUAUUAGAAAGAACAAAAAUACAUUUGACAUAAAUAUAAGGAGCCUCAAUAGAACCUCCUGUACCCAGUCAUUGUCAAUGCCACAUCCAUUCAUUCACCAGCCCUUAUAUCAAUGCUUGCUGGGCUCACUUACCACGAUCAGCACGUGCAUGUCCUUAUCUGAAAGCUUGCCACUCAAAUGUGCUCAGUCUUACCUGUGUGGCUGGGAGUGUUGGGGAUUUAAUGUCAAGGGAAAGAAUCUUCCAUCAAUGAAUGAUGAAAGUUAGUUUUCACAACUUCCGGUCCCCUUGGCCCUCAUCAAAGGGCUCCAGGUGAGGUUUGGGCUCCUUGCUAUCCUCCGAGUUUCCACGGUAGUUUUAAGCACCAUUGCCCGUGGUAAUGGCUGACAUUGAUACUGCACUUUUUUUUUAUUUAAGAUGGAGUUCCCCUCUGCCACCCAGACUGGAGUACAGUGGCGCGAUCCUGGCCAUCGCAACCUCCGCCUCCCAGGUUCAAGCGAUUCUCCUGCCUCAGUCUCUCAAGUAGCUGGGAUAUGGGCACCUGUCACCAUGCCCAGCUAAUUUUUUUAAAAUUUAUUUUUAGUAGAGAUGGGGUUUCACCAUGUUGGCCAGGCUGGUCUCGAACUCCUGACCUCAGGUGAUCCACCCACACUUUUUAUUGUUUGCCUACACUUUCUAGACUUGCUUCAUCAGCCUACUCCGUUUCUGGUUGAUAUGGUUUGGUUGUGUCCCCACUCAAAUCUUAUCUAGAAGUGUAAUCCCCAAGUCUCAAGGGAGGGACCUGGUGUGAGGUGAUUGGAUUGGGGGGUGGUUCCCGCCAUGCUGUUCUCAUGAUAGUGAGUGAGUUCUCAUGAGAUCUGAUGGUUUUAUAAGGCAGUUUUCCCUAUUCUUGCUCACUCUUCUCUCUCUUUCUGCCAUGUGAAGAAGGUCCUUGCUUCCCCUUCACCUUCUACCAUGAUUGUAAGUUUCCUGAGGCCUCCCCUCAGCCAUGCACAACUGUGAGUCAAUUAAACCUCUUUCCUUUAUAAAUUACUCAGUCUCAGGUCGUAUCUUUAUAGCAGUAUGAGAAUGGACUAAUACACUGGUCUAUCCUUCAUCCAAAUUAACUACCUGCACUGCAGUCCUUGUCUCAGGCUCUGCUUUGAGGGACCCCAACUGUGACAGCCGCAUUAGAAUGCAUCACAUACUGCAGUGAAAUUCUAGAGUGGGUGUUGUCAGGUGGUGAUGAUUGUUAGAUAUGUCAGUCUGUUUUCAGGCUGCUGAUAAAGACAUACCUGAGACUGGGUAAUUUAUAAAGGAAAAGGAGGUUUAAUGGACUCACAGUUCCACAUGGCUAGGGAGGCCUCACAAUCAUGGCAGAAGGUGAAAGGCACGGCUUACAGGGUGGCAGCAAGAGAGGAAAUGAGAACCAAGUGAAAAGGUUUCUGCUUAUAAAACCAUCAGCUCUUGUGAGACUUAUUCAUUACAAUGAGAACAAUAUGGGGGAAACUGCCCCCAUGAUUCAAUUAUCUCCCACCAGAUCCCUCCUACAACACAUGAGAAUUGUGGGUGCUACAAUUCAAGAUGAGAUUUGAGUGGGGACAAAGUCAAACCAUAUCAUUAGAUAGGACACUGGAGAAAGGCAAGAAAGAAAAGACAUCUGAAGAAUGAAGGGAGCCAAAGAAAUGCCAACAUUUUGCUUUUUGAAGAAAAGCUAAAUUAAAGUCAAAAUGGAUUUAUCAAUUUCCUUGGGUUCGUGAAUGUACAGAACUUUAUUAAGACUGUCAUGCUGUCAUCAUGGCUGGAUCUGAUACGGCCACCGUGGACCUUGAGGUGACCUCGGGAAUGGAGACAGUGCAUGGGAGAGAAUCACAUUGGAAGGGGCCUGGGUUUCUGAAGACCCUGUAAGACAGAUCUCCUUGCAGCCCUGACUGCCCACAUUAGGGCUUUUAUGUUAGGGUGAAGUUACCUUGCAUUGUCAUAUAAGCAAUUGCUAUUUGUGGUGUCUUGCAAAUAAACCUAUUCUGAUCUAGUAUGUUUCCUAAAAAACAAAAGUUUGAACCCAGCUCUUUACGUGUUACAUGUUCUGAAUACAAAAAUAAGACCCAGUUUCUGCCCCCUAGCAGGACCCAAAACCCCUCAGUGAAGGCAUACACCAUAGGAAUAAUCUCACAAGUACUUU
rnacentral:lncRNA from 10 species